UCCCUCGAGCCGGAUUUGAACCAGUGACCUAAGGAUCACCGUUGAAACUCUACAGUCCUGCCAACUGAGCUAUCGAGGG